rnacentral:rRNA from 1 species
AACGAACGCUGGCGGCAUGCCUAACACAUGCAAGUCGAACGAGACCUUCGGGUCUAGGGGCGCACGGGUGCGUAACGCGUGGGAACCUGCCCUUAGGUUCGGAAUAACUCCCCGAAAGGGGUGCUAAUACCGGAUAAUGUCUUCGGACCAAAGAUUUAUCGCCUUUGGAUGGGCCCGCGUUGGAUUAGCUAGUUGGUAGGGUAAAAGCCUACCAAGGCGACGAUCCAUAGCUGGUCUGAGAGGAUGAUCAGCCACACUGGGACUGAGACACGGCCCAGACUCCUACGGGAGGCAGCAGUGGGGAAUAUUGGACAAUGGGCGAAAGACUGAUCCAGCAAUGCCGCGUGAGUGAUGAAGGCCUUAGGGUUGUAAAGCUCUUUUAACCGGGAUGAUAAUGACAGUACCGGGAGAAUAAGCUCCGGCUAACUCCGUG